rnacentral:rRNA from 1 species
CCACCACUCCUCCCAGAUGUCAGGCUGCAUGAAUGGAACUCAUGCAAGGCGCCGCAGCAUCACAGACAUGGCUGGCCGCGAUGCGCCCGGUUGCAUCGCGCGGAGACACCCUCGUGCUUGGUCGAUCCACCUCGUGUUUUACAUGUCAAGCUGCAUAUGCAGCUUACAUGCAUGGUGAAACCUCGUGCUUCUGUAGAUACUCAUCUUGCUGGACAGUUGACACCACGUUCUAAACCCAUGCAACAAGCCACCUCGAACUUCUCGGUCCAUUCGCCUGAUUUCGACCAUUCCGGUGAAUUUCUGACCCGCGAUUAACCCCAAAUAUUUUUCUUCUCCCGUUCAGAUAAGUUUAAUAUUUUUAAUAAACUCCAAUAUGAAGUCUGACCUUGGCGGUAAAUAUUUCCAGAUCCUUCGGCUUCAACUCGACCACCACAAAGGUACUCAACCAUUCUUUUUUUUUUUACGGGUUUCUACAGUCGGGGGCAUUCUUAUUUCAUAGUCAGAUGUGAAAUUCUUGGAUUUAUGAAAGACGAACAACUGUGAAAGCAUUUGCCAAGGAUGUUUUCAUUAAUCAAGAACGAAAGUUGGGGGCUCGAAGACGACCAGAUACUAUCCUAGUCUCAACCAUAAACGAUGCCGACCAGGGAUCAGCGGAUGUUGCUUUUAGGACUCCGCUGGCACCUUAUGAGAAAUCAAAGUUUUUGGGUUCCGGGGGGAGUAUGGUCGCAAGGCUGAAACUUAAAGGAAUUGACGGAAGGGCACCACCAGGAGUGGAGCCUGCAGCUUAAUUUGACUCAACACGGGGAAACAUACCAGGUCCAGACAUAGUAAGGAUUGAAAGACUGAUAGAUCUUUCUUGAUUCUAUUGGUGGUGGUGCAUGGCCGUUCUUAGUUUGUGGAGCGAUUUGUCUGGUUAAUUCCGUUAACGAACGAGACCUCAGCCUGCUAACUAGAUACGUAGAGGCAUCCCUUCACGGCCGGCUUCUUAGGGGGACUAUGGCUGUUUAGGCCAAGGAAGUUUGAGGCAAUAACAGGUCCUGUGAUGCCCUUAGAUGUUUUGGGCGCGACACGACGCUACACUGAUGUAUUCAAAGAGUUCACACCUUGGCCGACAGGGCCGGGUAAUCUUUGAAAUUUCAUCGUGAUGGGGAUAGAUCAUUGCAAUUGUUGGUCUUCAACGAGGAAUUCCUAGUAAGCGCUUGAGUCAUCAGCUCGCGUUGACUACGCCCCUGCCCCUUUGUACACACCACCGUUGUUCUACCGAUUGAAUGAUCCGGUGAAGUGUUGGAUCAGCGGGCGCGUGGGUGGUUUGCCGUCUGUGACGUCGCGACCAGUCUACUAAAUCUUAUCAUUUAGAGGAAGGAGAAGUCGUAACAAGGUUUCCAUAGGUGAACCUGCGGAAG